rnacentral:SRP_RNA from 1 species
ACUGGGCAUGAUGCAUAUGCCUGUAGUCCUGGCUAAGGAGGCUGAGGUGGGAGAUUGCUGGAGCCCAGGCGUUCUGAGCUGCAGUGUGCAGCGCUAAUCUGGUGUGUACACUUGAGUUCAGCAUCAAUAUGGUGACCUGAGAGUGAGGGACCACCAGAUUGCCUAAGAAAGGGUAAGUCAGUCCAACCUGGAAACAGCAGUCAGAACUGUGCUGAUUAGCAGUGGGAGUGUGCCUGUAGUAGCUACUGCCCUUCAGCCUAGCAACGUAGUCAGACCUGUCUCUU